AGUGAACGCUGGCGGUAGGCCUAACACAUGCAAGUCGAACGGCAGCACAGUAAGAGCUUGCUCUUACGGGUGGCGAGUGGCGGACGGGUGAGGAAUACAUCGGAAUCUACUUUUUCGUGGGGGAUAACGUAGGGAAACUUACGCUAAUACCGCAUACGACCUACGGGUGAAAGCAGGGGAUCUUCGGACCUUGCGCGAUUGAAUGAGCCGAUUUCGGAUUAGCUAGUUGGCGGGGUAAAGGCCCACCAAGGCGACGAUCCGUAGCGGGUCUGAGAGGAUGAUCAGCCACACUGGAACUGAGACACGGUCCAGACUCCUACGGGAGGCAGCAGUGGGGAAUAUUGGACAAUGGGCGCAAGCCUGAUACAGCAAUACCGCGUGGGUGAAGAAGGCCUUCGGGUUGUAAAGCCCUUUUGUUGGGAAAGAAAAGAAGCAGGUUAAUACCCCGCUGUUCUGACGGUACCAAAAGAAUAAGCACCGGCUAACUUCGUG
rnacentral:rRNA from 1 species